ACCAACAGUCCUGCCUGGAAAUACACAGAGAGCAGCGCUUAUUCAAUGAGCAGCAGACUAAACACAUCCAAAACUGAGGACAAGGAGUCUACGUAUUCUUGUGUUGUCAGACAUGAGUCCUCUGAAACGCCGUUUGAAAGCACUAUAAAGGAUGUUUUUGCCACAGUGACCUACAGCCAACCUUCAGCCACCUUGCUCCAGGGCUCUGGUGAACUUGUGUGCCUGGUCUUCGGCUUCAGCCCUGCAUCUAUUAGCAUCACUUGGUUUUCUGGUGACACCAAGGAACUGUUGGACUACAACACUAGUGAACCCAUCAGAGGCCCAAAUGGAAAGUUCAGCAUCCAAAGCCACCUUCGUCUGUCCCAUGGCAACUGGUUCCCUGGGGCAGUCCUCACCUGCAGGGUGACACAUGAGAACACCACCCAAUCCCUGAAUAUAUCUAAACCAGGCACGUUGGAGGGCUGUCAUUUCUUAGAUGAGAUUAUGCAUGCUGAUGUGAACCAAGACACAGAUGUGGAAAGCUGGUAUAUGGCUUUCACUUUCCUCUUUUUUUUCCUCAUCUCCGUCAUCUAUGGUGUCUUGGCUACUGUGAUUAAGACUAAAUGAUGAUGACUCCAGGACAGAUUAAUGAUCCAAAUGGGAACAUUUGAGGAUUUUUGAUGGUCUUACUUUUUGUAAACUGUAAUUAAUUAAUUUUUCUUUUUACAUUUGUAUAAUAUUUUAGAAAUGAUUCAUACUGUAUUAAUUUCUUUUUUGUUUCAGUCACUUUGA